UGAUCUGGAUUUUUAAGCGGUUAAGUAAAUAUCAUGGGGCAGGCACUGGGGGGCACAAUAUCCCAAAUAGCCGUAUUUGCAUCACAACCCUUGGAUGAGGUGAUUGCCCAACGUCGCCCAUCAUCAUCCCGGCAGGUUAAGUCCAGGAUGCCAUCCCCGUCACAGUCUGCACUCUGCAGGACUGCGGUGUCGUGGAUGCACCACCCGGAUGGCCUGGUGCAUGAAGCUGCGGCAAAAAAAACAGCAACGAUAAUAAUUGAUCAAUGCCAGAAGCAGAUCGGGCAGGUGGCCUAGCUAGGAAAGGCCACAUGAAGGGUGGAGGCCAGACCAGCUGGAAAUGAAAGGCCAGGCAGUGUAACUACGAUUUCUAGACGCAUUGAGCAGGUCGGUGCCACAAAGAGACUCAGGGCUUGCUUGCCAGCAGCCGUAGGAUAACCGUACAUGCAUGCAUGCAUGCAUGCAUGCAUGCAUGCCACCAAUACAUUCGGUGAUUGAGCAUUGCUAUGCGCUUGCAUGCAUGUUUUGUGCGAUUGGGCAUAUGUAUACAGUUGCCAAAUAUGAUGCCUGAGGGGCUUCAGGUAAGGUGUACACACUGCUGCAAUUCACUGCUCCGAAGCAAGUGGGGUUGAACAAUAAUAUGCUAUGAUAAUUCCGAGGGGCAAUGCCGGUUCGAGGGAAUUCCCUCGAACCAUCUCAAUUUCAUCGCAACGGCUGGGUUAUUACUACGUACCUGGAUCUGUGGGUGGCGAGAAUAUCUUGGGGCAGGCACUGGGGGGCACAAUAUCCCAAAUAGCCGCAUUUGCAUCACAGCCCGUGGAUGAGGUGAUCGCCCAACGUCGCCCAUCAUCAUCCCGGCAGGUAACAUCCAGGGCGCCAUCCCCGUCACAGUCUGCACUCUGCAGGACUGAGCUGUUGUGGAUGCACCACCCGGAUGGCCUGGUGCAUGAAGCUGGAACUGCGGCAAAAGCCAGCAACGAUAAUAAUCGAUCGGUGUCAGAAGCAACAGAAACAUUUCUAGAUGCAUGGAGCAGCAGGUCAGUGCCAUAAGGAAACGCAGCUCGCCUGCCAGGGUUUUAAAACCCCUAGGGUGCCUGCCAGUAGGGAAACCGUACAUGUGUCCAUGCCACCGAUACAAUCGCGGAUUUAGCAUAAUUAUGCGCUCGCGUGAAUGUGUUGUGUGACUGGCUGGGCAUAUGUACAUGCUCAUACAGUUGCUAAAUGCGAUGCCUGAGGGGCACUGCAAUUACUCCCGCCCUUGCUUGCUUACAGGAUCUCGUAGGUUGAAGCAUGAUAUGCUACAUACGAUGAUUCCCCUGAACCAUCUCAGAUUAUUCAUCACAUACAACUGCUGGGUUAUUUCUACGUACCUGGAUCUGUGGGCGGGGGGAAUAUCAUGGGGCAGGCACUGGGGGGCACAAUAUCCCAAAUAGCCGUAUUUGCAUCACAACCCUUGGAUGAGGUGAUUGCCCAACGUCGCCCAUCAUCAUCCCGGCAGGUUAAGUCCAGGAUGCCAUCCCCGUCACAGUCUGCACUCUGCAGGACUGCGGUGUCGUGGAUGCACCACCCGGAUGGCCUGGUGCAUGAAGCUGCGGCAAAAAAAAACAGCAACGAUAAUAAUUGAUCAAUGCCAGAAGCAGAUAGGGCAGGUGGCCUAGCUAGGAAAGGCCACAUGAAGGGUGGAGGCCAGACCAGCUGGAAAUGAAAGGCCAGGCAGUGUAACUACGAUUUCUGGACGCAUCGAGCAGGUCGGUGCCACAAAGAGACUCAGGGCUUGCUUGCCAGCAGCCGUAGGAUAACCGUACAUGCAUGCAUGCAUGCAUGCCACCAAUACAUUCGGUGAUUGAGCAUAGCUAUGCGCUUGCAUGCAUGUUUUGUGCGAUUGGGCAUAUGUAUACAGUUGCCAAAUGUGAUGCCUGGGGGGCUUCAGGUAAGGUGCACACACUGCUGCAAUUCACUGCUCCGAAGCAAGUGGGGUUGAACAAUGAUAUGCUAUGAUAAUUCCGAGGGGCAAUGCCGGUUCGAGGGAAUUCCCUCGAACCAUCUCAAUUUCAUCGCAACGGCUGGGUUAUUACUACGUACCUGGAUCUGUGGGUGGCGAGAAUAUCUUGGGGCAGGCACUGGGGGGCACAAUAUCCCAAAUAGCCGCAUUUGCAUCACAGCCCGUGGAUGAGGUGAUCGCCCAACGUCGCCCAUCAUCAUCCCGGCAGGUAACAUCCAGGGCGCCAUCCCCGUCACAGUCUGCACUCUGCAGGACUGAGCUGUUGUGGAUGCACCACCCGGAUGGCCUGGUGCAUGAAGCUGGAACUGCGGCAAAAGCCAGCAACGAUAAUAAUCGAUCGGUGUCAGAAGCAACAGAAACAUUUCUAGAUGCAUGGAGCAGCAGGUCGGUGCCAUAAGGAAACGCAGCUCGCCUGCCAGGGUUUUAAAACCCCUAGGGCGCCUGCCAGUAGGACAAGUUGGGUGUCGGCUUCAAGGAAGCCGGAAAAAGGGCGGGGCCCCUCUGCAUCCGUACAGGCCGGUAGCAAAGGUGGCAAGUGUGACAAUUGAUGGGUAGUGUCAACGCGGUGGGAGAUGUGCUUUGUUGCAGCAGUGCUGAUGGUGUGAGAGCUAAGCUUGCACCGGCGAAAUCGUCAGCACCGCCUGAGGGCUCCACGCGAAUCGCAUCCAUUCCGGGUGCAUGCCGCAUGGACAGUGCGGCAGACCGCAAGUCGGAAUGCCCGUGCGGGCAAAUGGUAACGAAAGCUGGGUGAAUUUCGGUGCUGUCUGUGAUGUUUAUCCCCGAAGCGCCAGCGGCCUCAGCAAUCCGCCCCACAGCCGCGGGCUUCAUCGGGGCACACCGCAAGUCUCAGGAGGCCCCGUGCAUUGGCCAAAGUAAAUGUACAAACAAGCAGCUUGUGUAUUUCAUAGAGAAAUGAAAGUAAAUUAUGUUGGCCUGCUGGUGGCAAGUCGGAUUGCCCAUGCCGGCAAAUGGUAACACAAGCUGGGUGUUCGAGUUAUCAUACGCUGUCAUCUCGGAAAUCAAUUAUGAGAUACACGGCACCUUUUGAGAUGAAAUAUAGCCCGAGAGGUGUUGAUGUGACUUUUGAGGUCGGUGAAUGGAGGCAGCUAAACUUGUUUGUGCUCAUACGGUCUUUGUUAGCUACAUGCGAGAUACCUUGCAAUAGAGAAUGCUGUAUAGUACCGAUAACGCGUUUCAGCCGGGCGAGAUAUUAUGUUUGGUCCGUUACAGACACACACACACACACACACACACACACACACACACACACACACACACACGGACAUGGGCAAUCCUACAGGUCGGGGCCCCCCUGGGCGCUUCGCGCUGGGGCCCCGCCCAAAAACCGUACAUGUGUCUAUGCCACCGAUACAAUCGCGGAUUUAGCAUAAUUAUGCGCUCGCGUGAAUGUGUUGUGUGACUGGCUGGGCAUAUGUACAUGCUCAUACAGUUGCUAAAUGCGAUGCCUGAGGGGCACUGCAAUUACUCCCGCCCUUGCUUGCUUACAGGAUCUCGUAGGUUGAAGCAUGAUAUGCUACAUACGAUGAUUCCCCUGAACCAUCUCAGAUUAUUCAUCACAUACAACUGCUGGGUUAUUUCUACGUACCUGGAUCUGUGGGCGGGGGGAAUAUCAUGGGGCAGGCACUGGGGGGCACAAUAUCCCAAAUAGCCGUAUUUGCAUCACAACCCUUGGAUGAGGUGAUUGCCCAACGUCGCCCAUCAUCAUCCCGGCAGGUUAAGUCCAGGAUGCCAUCCCCGUCACAGUCUGCACUCUGCAGGACUGCGGUGUCAUGGAUGCACCACCCGGAUGGCCUGGUGCAUGAAGCUGCGGCAAAAAAAACAGCAACGAUAAUAAUUGAUCAAUGCCAGAAGCAGAUAGGGCAGGUGGCCUAGCUAGGAAAGGCCACAUGAAGGGUGGAGGCCAGACCAGCUGGAAAUGAAAGGCCAGGCAGUGUAACUACGAUUUCUAGACGCAUUGAGCAGGUCGGUGCCACAAAGAGACUCAGGGCUUGCUUGCCAGCAGCCGUAGGAUAACCGUACAUGCAUGCAUGCAUGCAUGCAUGCAUGCCACCAAUACAUUCGGUGAUUGAGCAUAGCUAUGCGCUUGCAUGCAUGUUUUGUGCGAUUGGGCAUAUGUAUACAGUUGCCAAAUGUGAUGCCUGGGGGGCUUCAGGUAAGGUGCACACACUGCUGCAAUUCACUGCUCCGAAGCAAGUGGGGUUGAACAAUGAUAUGCUAUGAUAAUUCCGAGGGGCAAUGCCGGUUCGAGGGAAUUCCCUCGAAUCAUCUCAAUUUCAUCGCAACGGCUGGGUUAUUACUACGUACCUGGAUCUGUGGGUGGCGAGAAUAUCUUGGGGCAGGCACUGGGGGGCACAAUAUCCCAAAUAGCCGCAUUUGCAUCACAGCCCGUGGAUGAGGUGAUCGCCCAACGUCGCCCAUCAUCAUCCCGGCAGGUAACAUCCAGGGCGCCAUCCCCGUCACAGUCUGCACUCUGCAGGACUGAGCUGUUGUGGAUGCACCACCCGGAUGGCCUGGUGCAUGAAGCUGGAACUGCGGCAAAAGCCAGCAACGAUAAUAAUCGAUCGGUGUCAGAAGCAACAGAAACAUUUCUAGAUGAAUGGAGCAGCAGGUCGGUGCCAUAAGGAAACGCAGCUCGCCUGCCAGGGUUUUAAAACCCCUAGGGCGCCUGCCAGUAGGAAAACCGUACAUGUGUCCAUGCCACCGAUACAAUCGCUGAUUUAGCAUAAUUAUGCGCUCGCGUGAAUGUGUUGUGUGACUGGCUGGGCAUAUGUACAUGCUCAUACAGUUGCUAAAUGCGAUGCCUGAGGGGCACUGCAAUUACUCCCGCCCUUGCUUGCUUACAGGAUCUCGUAGGUUGAAGCAUGAUAUGCUACAUACGAUGAUUCCCCUGAACCAUCUCAGAUUAUUCAUCACAUACAACUGCUGGGUUAUUUCUACGUACCUGGAUCUGUGGGGGGGGGGAAUAUCAUGGGGCAGGCACUGGGGGGCACAAUAUCCCAAAUAGCCGUAUUUGCAUCACAACCCUUGGAUGAGGUGAUUGCCCAACGUCGCCCAUCAUCAUCCCGGCAGGUUAAGUCCAGGAUGCCAUCCCCGUCACAGUCUGCACUCUGCAGGACUGCGGUGUCGUGGAUGCACCACCCGGAUGGCCUGGUGCAUGAAGCUGCGGCAAAAAAAACAGCAACGAUAAUAAUUGAUCAAUGCCAGAAGCAGAUCGGGCAGGUGGCCUAGCUAGGAAAGGCCACAUGAAGGGUGGAGGCCAGACCAGCUGGAAAUGAAAGGCCAGGCAGUGUAACUACGAUUUCUAGAUGCAUCGAGCAGGUCGGUGCCACAAAGAGACUCAGGGCUUGCUUGCCAGCAGCCGUAGGAUAACCGUACAUGCAUGCAUGCAUGCAUGCAUGCCACCAAUACAUUCGGUGAUUGAGCAUAGCUAUGCGCUUGCAUGAAUGUUUUGUGCGAUUGGGCAUAUGUAUACAGUUGCCAAAUGUGAUGCCUGAGGGGCUUCAGGUAAGUUGCACACACUGCUGCAAUUCACUGCUCCGAAGCAAGUGGGGUUGAACAAUGAUAUGCUAUGAUAAUUCCGAGGGGCAAUGCCGGUUCGAGGGAAUUCCCUCGAACCAUCUCAAUUUCAACGCAACGGCUGGGUUAUUACUACGUACCUGGAUCUGUGGGUGGCGAGAAUAUCUUGGGGCAGGCACUGGGGGGCACAAUAUCCCAAAUAGCCGCAUUUGCAUCACAGCCCGUGGAUGAGGUGAUCGCCCAACGUCGCCCAUCAUCAUCCCGGCAGGUAACAUCCAGGGCGCCAUCCCCGUCACAGUCUGCACUCUGCAGGACUGAGCUGUUGUGGAUGCACCACCCGGAUGGCCUGGUGCAUGAAGCUGCGGCAAAAAAAGCAGCAACGAUGGUAAUUGAUCAAUGCCAGAAGCAGAUCGGGCAGGUGGCCUAGCUAGGAAAGGCCACAUGAAGGGUGGAGGCCAGACCAGCUGGAAAUGAAAGGCCAGGCAGUGUAACUACGAUUUCUAGACGCGUCGAACAGAUCAACGCCACAAAGAGACUCAGGGCUUGCUUUCCAGCAGCCGUAGGAUAACCGUACAUGCAUGCAUGCAUGCCACCGAUACAUUCGUGAUUGAGCAUAGCUAUGCGCUUGCAUGAAUGUUUUGUGCGAUUGGGCAUAUGUAUACAGUUGCCAAAUGUGAUGCCUGAGGGGCUUCAGGUAAGUUGCACACACUGCUGCAAUUCACUGCUCCGAAGCAAGUGGGGUUGAACAAUGAUAUGCUAUGAUAAUUCCGAGGGGCAAUGCCGGUUCGAGGGAAUUCCCUCGAAUCAUCUCAAUUUCAUCGCAACGGCUGGGUUAUUACUACGUACCUGGAUCUGUGGGUGGCGAGAAUAUCUUGGGGCAGGCACUGGGGGGCACAAUAUCCCAAAUAGCCGCAUUUGCAUCACAGCCCGUGGAUGAGGUGAUCGCCCAACGUCGCCCAUCAUCAUCCCGGCAG
rnacentral:lncRNA from 1 species